UAUAAAUGAUAUGGCAUUUUGUAAAAAAGUAAAAAAUCAAUAAUAAUAUUCUCUUCUUUUUAAAAAAUAAUAAUAGUAAUAAUAAUAAUAGAAAAAUAUUUUUAAAAGAAAAACCCACCAAUGUUCCGAAUAGCCUAUACAAUAAUAAUAAUAAUAAGUAAAUACCUAAAUUUUAAAUGUAUACAAUAAAUGUUUUUAAAGAUAAUAAAAUUAAUGAAUAAUAAUAAUAAUACGAGGAACAUAUUCCCUUUACACCGGAGGUGAAAUUUCGUUAACACCGAUGUCAACCUUCACCUUCGUCUUUAUGUUGGUGAGACAAAAACCGCAUGGAGUACCCCCCUGCAAGAAAGUUUGAUUAUGGAGACAGAAAGUGUUGAAGCAGUAAAAUGUUUAUCGGAACAGGUAGCUAAUUUGUCGCAAACCGUGAAUUCGUUUUCUCAAUGUCUCGCUAUGUACAACUGAAUUACGCCAGGCCGAAUGGCAUCAAUGUUUUUAUUCAAAUCAGCGCGGUCAAGAAACUCUGUUUCAAAAUGGCGACCGGUUAUAAUCUUCGACGCAGGAAGCUGUCUCUCCAAACGUGGAGUUUUCGAUACACAAAAGCAGACGCCUACUCAAGUUUCAGCCCCUCUCGGCCCCACACCCAAUACAGAUAACUUUGCGUCCGAGUUGGAAAAGGAAUAUUUACAAGUAAAAGACUCCUUGAACAAAGUGUCGGUGCCAAACUACUUCAGUACGAAUCCCAUCUGAAUGUUGGAUGACAUAUAUCAAGAUGGCACUGAACAGGAUAUAACUGAAGAAAAAGGAUGUGAGAGAAUCCAAUCUAACAUUUAAAAAUAAAUAUACAUUUAUAUUAUUUAUAAAAAAAAAGUUUGCAUAUACUGUUCAGAUAUAUUUGUCGUUCACAUCGGGAAGAAUGAAACACCACUUUGUUAAGACUAUUGUGCUUCAAUUUUUAUGUCUUGCUGACAGUUUACAGAUAGGGUGUGGAAGUGCUGUCAUACUGUACCGGUGACAUAAGAACAAUAACUUUUUAAAACAAUUAUUUGAAUUAAAUGGGUCAUGGGAAUUCCCAUGGUAUUCUUGGAUUUUGAA